UAAAGUGGCGACCGGGUGAGUAACACGUGACUAACCUACCUUCGAGUGGGGGAUAACAUCGGGAAACCGAUGCUAAUACCGCAUAACAUCGCAAGAUCAAAGCAGCAAUGCGCUUGAAGAGGGGGUCGCGGCUGAUUAGCUAGUUGGUAGGGUAAUGGCCUACCAAGGCUUAGAUCGGUAGCCGGCCUGAGAGGGCGCACGGCCACACUGGAACUGAAACACGGUCCAG
rnacentral:rRNA from 1 species